AGUGAACGCUGGCGGUAGGCCUAACACAUGCAAGUCGAACGGCAGCACAGUAAGAGCUUGCUCUUACGGGUGGCGAGUGGCGGACGGGUGAGGAAUACAUCGGAAUCUACUUUUUCGUGGGGGAUAACGUAGGGAAACUUACGCUAAUACCGCAUACGACCUACGGGUGAAAGCAGGGGAUCUUCGGACCUUGCGCGAUUGAAUGAGCCGAUGUCGGAUUAGCUAGUUGGCGGGGUAAAGGCCCACCAAGGCGACGAUCCGUAGCUGGUCUGAGAGGAUGAUCAGGCACACUGGAACUGAGACACGGUCCAGACUCCUACGGGAGGCAGCAGUGGGGAAUAUUGGACAAUGGGCGCAAGCCUGAUCCAGCCAUACCGCGUGGGUGAAGAAGGCCUUCGGGUUGUAAAGCACUUUUGUUGGGAAAGAAAAGCAGCAGGUUAAUACCCCGCUGUUCUGACGGUACCCAAAGAAUAAGCACCGGCUAACUUCGUG
rnacentral:rRNA from 1 species